GGUCCUGAAUGGCUCAGUUGGUAGAGUAUGGUGCUUGUAACGCCAGGGUUGUUGGUUCAAAUCCCGCCAGGACCA